rnacentral:rRNA from 1 species
CCUACGGGUGGCAGCAGUGGGAAAUGUUGGGCAAUGGGCGCAAGCCUGACCCAGCAACGCUGCGUGAAGGAAGAAGGCUUUCGGGUUGUAACCUUCUUUUCUGAGGGACGAAGAAAGUGACGGUACCUCAGGAAUAAGCAACGGCUAACUACGUGCCAUCAGCCGCGGUAAUACGUAGGUGGCAAGCGUUAUCCGGAUUUAUUGGUUGUAAAGGGCGUGUAGGCGGGAAAGCAAGUCAGAUGUGAAAACUCAGGGCUCAACCCUGAGCCUGCAUUUGAAACUGUAGUUCUUGAGUGAUGGAGAGGCAGGCGGAAUGCCGGGUGGAGCGGUGAAAUGCGUAGAUAUACGGAGGAACACCAGUGGCGAAGGCGGCCUGCUGGACAUUAACUGACGCUGAGGCGCGAAAGCGUGGGGAGCAAACAGGAUUAGAUACCCCAGUAGUC